rnacentral:tRNA from 1 species
CAUUAAGUGGCUGAAAAGUUAUAGCAUUGGUCUCUUAAACCAAAUUAUAGUAUUUAACAAAUACUCUUAAUG